CUAAGAUCAGGCCGAAAGGCGUAGUCGAUGGACAACAUGUGAAUAUUCCUGUACUGCCCCUUAUUGGUCCCGAGGGAUGAAGGAGGCUACGUUAGCCGAAAGAUGUUUAUCGGUUCAAGAACAUAAGGUGUCCCUGCUUUGUCAGGGUAAGAAGGGGUAGAUAAAAUGCCUCGAGCCAAUGUUCGAAUACCAGGCGCUACGGCGCUGAAGUAACUCAUGCCAUACUCCCAGGAAAAGCUCGAAAGACUUUGAGCAAGAGGGUACCUGUACCCGAAACCGACACAGGUGGGUAGGUAGAGAAUAUCUAGGGGCGCGAGACAACUCUCUCUAAGGAACUCGGCAAAAUAGCCCCUUAACUUCGGGAGAAGGGGUGCCUCCUCACAAAGGGGAUCGCAGUGACCAGGCCCGGGCGACUGUUUACCAAAAACACAGGUCUCCGCAAAGUCGUAAGNUCGCAGUGACCAGGCCUGGGCGACUGUUUACCAAAAACACAGGUCUCCGCAAAGUCGUAAGACCAUGUAUGGGGGUUGACACCUGCCUAGUGCCGGAAGGUCAAGGAAGUUGGUGACCUGAUGAUAGGGGAGCUGGCGACCGAAGCCCCGGUGAACAACAGCCAUAACUAUAACAGUCCUAAGGUAGCAAAAUUCCUUGUCGGGUAAGUACCGACCCGCACGAAAGGCGUAACGAUCUGGGCACUAUUUCGGAGAGAGGCUCGGUGAAAUAGACAUGUCUGUGAAGAUGCAGACUACCUGCACCUGGACAGAAAGACCCUAUGAAGCUUCACUGUUCCCUGGGAUUGGCUUUGGGCCUUUCCUGUGCAGCUUAGGUGGAAGGCGAAGAAGGCCUCCUUCCGGGGGGGCCCGAGCCAUCAGUGAGAUACCACUCUGGAAGGGCUAGAAUUUUAACCUUAUGUCAGGACCUAUGGGCCAAGGGACGGUCUCAGGUAGAUAGUAUUUAUGGGGCGUAGGCCUCCCAAAAGGUAACGAAGGCAUGCAAAGGUUUCCUCGGUUCGGAUGGAGAUUGGCCCUCGAGUGCAAUGGUAGAAGGGAGCUUGACUGCAAGACCCACCCGUCGAGCAGGGACGAAAGUCAGCCUUAGUGAUCCAACGAUGUCGAGUGGAAGGGCCGUCACUCAACGGAUAAAAGUUACUCUAGGGAUAACAGGGUGAUCCGUUGGGGCUGUAGUAUGUUCCAAGGGUUGGGCUGUUUGCCCAUUAAAGCGGUACAUGAGCUGGGUUUAAAACAUCAUGAGAUAAUUCGGUCCAUAUCCAGUGUGGGCGUUAGAGCAUUGAGAGGACCUUUCCCUAGUACGAGAGGACCGGGAAGGACACACCUCUGGUGUACCAGUUAUCGUGCCCACGAUAAACGCUGGGUAGCCAAGUGCGGAGUGGAUAACUGCUGAAAGCAUCUAAGUAGUAAGCCCAGCCCAAGAUGAGUGCUCUCCUAUUUCGACUUCCCCAAAGCCUCCAGUAGCACAUCCGAGAUAGCGACGGGUUCUCUGCCCCUGCGGGGAUAGAGCGACAGAAGUUUUUUUUGA
rnacentral:rRNA from 1 species